rnacentral:rRNA from 1 species
AUCAAAGAGAGAUGUGACUUAGUGGCGGACGGGUGAGUAACGCGUGGGUAACCUGCCUUAUACAGGGGGAUAACAGUUAGAAAUGACUGCUAAUACCGCAUAACCCGCUAGUACCGCAUGGUACGGACGGAAAAGAUUUGUCGGUAUAAGAUGGACCCGCGUCUGAUUAGCUGGUUGGUGGGGUAAAGGCCUACCAAGGCGACGAUCAGUAGCCGACCUGAGAGGGUGAUCGGCCACAUUGGGACUGAGACACGGCCCAAACUCCUACGGGAGGCAGCAGUGGGGAAUAUUGCACAAUGGGGGAAACCCUGAUGCAGCGACGCCGCGUGAAGGAAGAAGUAUUUCGGUAUGUAAACUUCUA